CUACGGGAGGCAGCAGUAAGGAAUAUUGGACAAUGGUGGCAACACUGAUCCAGCCAUGCCGCGUGAAGGAUGACGGCCCUAUGGGUUGUAAACUUCUUUUGUAUGGGAAAAAACCUCUUUACGUGUAAAGAGCUGAUUGUACCAUAAGAAUAAGGAUCGGCUAACUCCGUGCCAGCAGCCGCGGUAAUACGGAGGAUCCAAGCGUUAUCCGGAUUCAUUGGGUUUAAAGGGUGCGUAGGCGGGAUUGUAAGUCAGUGGUGAAAGCCUGCAGCUUAACUGCAGAACUGCCAUUGAUACUGCAAACCUUGAGUACAUUUGAUGUGGGCGGAAUGUGUCAUGUAGCGGUGAAAUGCUUAGAUAUGACACAGAACACCGAUUGCGAAGGCAGCUGACGAAACUGUAACUGACGCUGAGGCACGAAAGCGUGGGGAUCAAACAGGAUUAGAUACCCGGGUAGUCC
rnacentral:rRNA from 1 species